GACGAACGCUGGCGGCGUGCUUAACACAUGCAAGUCGAACGAAGUGGCAAACGGGUGAGUAACGCGUAAGCAACCUGCCCAUCAGUGGGGGACAACAGUUGGAAACGACUGCAAAUACCGCAAACUGAAUGAGGGGAUGGAGUCUGAUUAGCUAGUUGGAGGGGUAACUGCCCACCAAGGCGAUGAUCAGUAGCCGGUCUGUAGGAGCUAACGGCCACAUUGGGACUUGAACCCGGCCCAGACUCCUUAGGGAGGCAGCAGUGGGGACUCUUCCGCAAUGGACGAAAGUCUUACGAAGCUCCGGCGCGUGAGUGAUGACGGCCUUCGGGUUGUAAAGCUCUGUUAAUCGGGCCGCGGUACCAGAAUCGAAAGCCACGGCUAACUCCGUGCCAGCAGCCGCGGUAAUAC
rnacentral:rRNA from 1 species